rnacentral:tRNA from 1 species
GGAGAAGUGGCAGAGUGGUCGAAUGCACUGGUCUUGAAAACCAGCGUACUGCAAGGUACCGGGGGUUCGAAUCCCUCCUUCUCCGCCA